rnacentral:hammerhead_ribozyme from 1 species
AUUUAGCUGACGAGUCCCAAAUUGGACGAAACGUAGGUCCUUGAU